CAGAUGCAUGGUGUGAGUAUGGGGGUUGAGAGUCCCUCCAGCCCUACAAAGUUCCUCCCACAGACUGGGAGCUGCAAGAAUGAAAACUCCUGUGAAACACUGAGCUUAUCUGCUACUCUGAGCUCCUGCCAUUUAGCCAGACAGUGUAUUUUCUUUGUGAGUAGCAACACGUGUACAUAAUUUUCUAGCUAAGUUCAGCAGUGAGAUGUUGUUAGUAAGUGUAGGUCAAGUCUUGCAACUCUUGAUCUCAGUGCUAAACUGAGAAAUGCCCCCUGGUCAAGGAGGUCUUGUUACUCUGUGAAGAUGUGUCCUAUGGCUGAAGGACCAUCUGUGACCCUUUCUGAGGACAAUCUGGAAAAAAGCUGCAGAUCCCUAAGGGCCAGAGAAAUCCUCCUAGAAAACCAGAACCUGUGAAGCUGCAUCCCUCCUGCCUCAUGUAAUCCUUUGACUGAGAAUUAGAAGAACUCCAUACAAGCUCAAUGUAGGUUGUCAUCUCUCAGAGCCCAGUGCAUGGAGACCCAGUGCCUCAGCAGGACUAGAGCCAUUGAGUGUGCAGGUGGUACAAUUGAACCAGGACCUGUAGGUUGAAACAGAGGCAGACCUGGCUGGCAUUGCUGUGGGAAGUAGAGUCAAAGUUUGGAGUCUCACUAUCAGGUGAUGUUCAACCUGUGCUUUGGAUGCAGUCACUGCAAAUGGGAAGGGAUUGAUCCUACUGUGUCAAGGCUGAUUUCUAUGCUGCUUAUUUAGCACGUGACCACCAUAGGACUGGAUUAAAAGCUUCACUGCAACUCUGCUCCUGGUGUAGCACUGGAUUCUAAGAAAGACUUGAAGGGACACCAGAUUUAGAUUUGGAGGGGUUACCAAGCUGGUUAUAAAAGUUGGCUGAAUUUAGACCACAGGGUGCUUCUGUUAACUAUUAUAAAUUGAGUUUAUUAAAAAAAUGAUG